ACCUUUGCCUCCGAAGUCCAAGUUUCGUUUCCCCACUUUAUAUGUGGCCCUUCCAUGGAGAGGCACAGGCUGAGCUUCUCGUUGCUGUGCAUCCUGAGUGCUAAUGCAAACUGCUCCUCUAUCAGGUGACCUCAAUAGUCUUGCUUCAGACCACUGCACUCAGCCCUUUCAGGCACAGAUCCUGGUCAAAGAAGACAGGAAAAUAAUGCAGUUCAAAAACUUUGCAUUGCAGCAACAAUGCGCUAUGAAACAUGCAGGAAAACAAACUUGUUUUCCUCUUGUAAGUGUGGAGUAAGUUUCCUCAGUCCUCCAAUUUAUUUAUAAUACUGCUUCCUGCCAUAGCAGGGGUAGUCACUUCUUUAAUACUUUUCUGACAAAAAUUGAAAGAAGAAGUUGAAACAGUUGUUUUUUUAAGAAACACCAGUACUUGAGCUGCUCUGAAUUUUGGACAUUAUCUUAAGAUCCCCAAAUACCUAUUAGACCAAGCAGCCUUCAGUGCCCCAGGGACAGUACUGGAUUUCUGUACUACCUGUACAUUACAAUAUUGCUAUGGGCCUGACUUGAGGCAACAAAAGUAAAACAAUUUUCUGCCUAUGGUGAUGCUCUUUUUGAUGGUACAUCAUCUGGCAUAAAUUUGAGACAAAGUCACUUAAUUUGGUGUUCUGGAACCUGUAGGUCCAUACCUGUGUUGUAACUCAUUUUGUACAUGAAACACCUUAACAGCCAGCAGGAAGCAAGCAUCUGUUUUCCAUGACUGCCAGGGGUUCUGAUGUCCCCCUUUAGAGGCUGUGUAGUGCCUGCUCCUUCAUAUGUGUGUUCAGAGCAUGUAGUGUGCUUCCCAUAGCUAGCUACGCUCUUCAGUCAUACCUCAAGAACAUCACCUUUAGACCUGAAUUUGAAUACAUCUGUUUAAUUUCUCAUUGUUUAAGAAAAGUGGUUCUGAUGCAAUGAAUAAAAGUGUGGUGUUUUAGCUGCCUUCUCGGAGAUGUCGAGAUAGGUCUCUGUAGCGAGGCUGCUGGCAUGUGAGAGUUUGUUUUUCAUGUGUUUGGAAAGACACAAAGAAGAAAAGAAAUGCAAGGGUACCAAUGAGCACAUAGCUCAGAGGACAAAAAAGAAAGGGAGUGACUUAAUGUAGGAAUGGUCAGGUAGAAGGGAGAAAGGUGAAGUAAAAAACGGUGAAGGACUGGUAGCAGAGACAGAAAUAAAUGAAGAAACAAGGUGAAAGGCGUAAAUACGUUUAAGUUGUAUUUGAGCAAAACAGGUAACGCCUAAAAAAGCAAUCGGUCUCUCUCGUGGUUAGACUGUAUUUGUCACUUAGGAAAGGAGAGUUAUCUGUUGGGAUAAUUGACUGGAGUGAUGAUGAAGUACCUAUCACUGGAGCAUUUCUAUGAUAGAGAAGUCAAAAAUCUGGGGAAUGCUGACAGGUAUUGGAUGAACCCUUCCAGUUCUAUUUUCUAUGACCUCAGCAUCCCAUAAUGUAUGAGUGGGAGAAGUAUCUCAGUUGUGUGAUCAUGGAAAACAUGUUUCUGACCUGGUCACCUCCUCACUGAAAUUCUCUAUGAUCUCAAACAGUAAACAAGGCACAUAUUUGGAAAUGAAGUCUAUGAGGAAAAUUAAUAUAGAGGGAGAAAAAAGGAAAAGGAACCAGUUGAUCUGCAGACAACAUUUUCUUCUGACCUAUGGACACAAUGACACAACCCUUGCAAUUUCUUCUUCAUACUGAACAGCCCCAUUCUGCAACAAAUACCUAGUUUGGCUUAGAUACAAACCCAAAACCCUCGCAACUUGAGUUAAAGGAUCCCGGGGUCUUUCUUCCAAGAACAGAGUUAUUAAUUGAUCUACUGUGCUUCAACUCUAAAUAAUCCUGUUUUCCCAUUCAAGGAAAAUUUCUCAUAAUUUCAACCAAAAUCACAAUGAAGUGAUCUGGGAUUAUUCUACACUGGUGAUUAUUUCUAUGCAAGCCACCAGUUACCAUCACACUAUAAAACAAAGUGCAAAACAGGCUUUUAAAAGUAAAGUCUGGAGAGGCAUCACAUUGAGAUGAAACAAACUCAUUCUCCCACCAUGUGGAGUUUCUCAGAGCUUGCCAAUAUGACCUAGCAAAGCCAAGUAUGCCAAUAUCAGUGGUCCUCCCUUGGAGGCAGGAGACUUGGAUUGCUUCAGUACAUAUACACAUAUACUGUAUAAGAAGGCACAGCCUUUAAAGUGACCACUCUUUCCCCAUGCAAAUCUGCCCUCUGUUCUUUUUUUUUACACUAUAGGCCACUGAGUACAAUGCUGGUAACUGGAGGAAACUGCUUUUUUUUUUCCUUACAGUACUUUAGAGACAUUAGAUUCAUUAUUUGAGGGUGUGUAUGAGAUUCUGGAAGUAAAAUUUAUGUCUGCUAUGCUGUGAGAUCUUUGGUAUGAUAUUGACUCACUCAUUGGCAUCUGAGAGAGGUUUGGGGAAUUCAGCAAGUUUUCAGCAAUCCAGUUUGAGAGAUUAAACAGAAUUAUAGCUUGCUCAGAUUUGUCCUAAUUUUUAUUAGAUUUUCACCAUUUCUAAUUGCAUAAACAUAUGCAGCCAAUUAUGCAGGUGGGGACUGGGAUGAUGUACAAGGACAUUCAGGCUCCAUAGGCAGCUGAUUGGUGGACAAAGUAAUAGGGCACUUGGAAAGACUGGUAUUUUUUUCAGACCAUUCCAGGGUAAAAUCUUGUCCCCAUUUAAACUGAAGCAAUCAAGAGAGGAAAGAUUUUAGCUGUAGAUUCUGUUGGAACUGGAGAAAGAGAUGAGAGGAACCAUCUGAUGCCGAAAAUAUCCAGGAUGAAGGUGGUUGUUUUGGGCAAGAUUCAUUACUUAUUUGUCUUGGACACAGGAAAAAUAAUGUUUCAAGACCAUAGAACUAGCCUGAUAAAUAUGGUGAUAUCAGAAGGUUUUUGAUCAGGGCUAAGCACAAGACAAGCAAUGGUUAACAAUUUCAGGUAAUAGCAGGGCAAAUGAGAAGUCAUUUUGUGUGAACAUUGUAAUUGUUAGCAAAUGCCAAGCUGUAAUGUGGUCAGCAAUAUUUUAUAUUUUGUUUUAGAAAAUAAAUCUUUUUUUUCUAUGGAUAGGAGAGCUCUUGGGCCCCAAGUUAAAGUAUGAUAUGUGUAUGGUAAAAUGACACCAGCUGAGGUACUGGCCUAGCUGUUUAUGUGAGUAGUUUCACAUGAAAUAAUAUUGCUGUCUGUAUUUGUUAAGGGAAUGCUGCUGUUGACUUAUUUUCUACAAUCAAAACAGAAAGAGGGGUAGGAGGGAAAAGUCUAUACUCAGGUUUUUGCUCUGCAGUGUUCUUUAUCUCUGGUAUGGCAUCUGCACUAUGAAAUUCACCCUGAAUCAAUGGACACGCAGAUGUCUUCACUUCCAGCAGGGAGGACACAACUCUCAGGCUGAAUUAGGCCAUUUGGAGAGGUUUACUAAAAUCUCCAUGGGUUACAGACGCAAGACUUUUCUCUCACGCUGGUCUGGAAUGAGCUCUUGGUGGGCAGUAACAUGCGAACUCUGACCACAUCACUGGUGUGAAAUUGCUGAUUAACCUUUUGACUCUGACAAUUGGGACUUCUCUCAACACCAACUGUUGUACAUGUUGGAACUCAAUUUAUCCAGAAGCUGGGGAGGACCUGAACUGGCUCCAGCAGUUCUGAAAGAGAGAAGAAGCAGCACAACUGCCCUCUAACAAAAAUGGUACAUUCAAGGAGAAGCUUCAGGAAUCAGUCUAAGCUACCACCAAUGAUGUGAUGUCUAAACCUUUCUGGCAGGCACUUGUUCAGUCUUAAGGAGCUUUAAAUUACUUCACAGCUUGAAAUUCCAUCAUUAGGCAGCAUUAGCCCCAGAGGCUGACAAGGCGGUUGAAUGUACGCUGACAAGCUGCUCUCCCCGGGCAGGAGGGCUCUGCCAACGCCUGUGAAGUGAAAACCUGUCUGCACCGCAGGUGAGAAAGCAAAUAACGCAGGGUGCGGCCACAGGAGUAGCGCCCGCCAGCGGGACUGCCGCAGCCACGUCCGCUGCCCCCAGCGACGGCGGCCCGAAGCGCCUAGGCCGGCGUAGAGCCCCGGGGCCGGGCAGAGCUCAUGGCGGCCAUCGCGGCGCCCGGGCGGGCGGCGGCCCCGCCAUCACCUCCCCCGCGCCAGGCGGCGGCGCGCGCCGUUCGCCGCAGCGUCCGCCAGGUGGCGCCCUUGAUCGCCGAGUGGCGUGAGGGCGGGCGGGGCCGAGAAAGGCAUGGCGCCCACCCCCCUGCCCGCCCUGCGAUUUCGGAAGCAUUAUAACGAAAGUGUUUUCAGCUUAUUAUUAUGCAUGAGUAAAAAUUCCAUGAAUGUGUAACAUUUUCGCCUGUAUUUCCCUCUUUUAUAACAUCAUUUAAAUUCCUCAUUAAUAAUUCAGCAACAUUCUGGAUUUAAUCACUUUUCUCAUCCCCGCGGUCUCUAUCCGAGGCACCGCUCUUCUCCCCACCUGAAGGUGACAUGGAGGCAGGGCUGGGGCCAGGGGCAUCCGCCCCAGAGCCCUGUCUGGCUGCAGGGUAUUUCCUUCAUCAGUUAAAAAUCCAAAGUUUACCAAACUUAAGGCUUGAGUAGGUCACUAUUAGUGAAAAUUUAAUUUUUUUUUUUUUUUUUUUUAAUCUGAGUUUAGUUACGGUGGUAUUUGUUUGAUAGCUUGUUACUGUAAAUAAGAGAGAUAAAAGGAGCCCUUCACUCGAGCAGCUUCAGAGUUGUGAAAUAUGUACCUAAUUAAAACUAUUGGUGUAAGAGGCUAAUAAAGUACAUGUGCCUACUA